CCUACGGGUGGCAGCAGUGAGGAAUAUUGGUCAAUGGGCGCGAGACUGAACCAGCCAAGUCGCGUGAAGGAUGCAUGCACUAAGGAUUGUAAACUUCUUUUAUAAGGGAAUAAAGAGAGGCACGUGUCCCUUUUUGUAUGUACUUUAUGAAUAAGGAUCGGCUAACUCCGUGCCAGCAGCCGCGGUAAUACGGAGGAUGCGAGCGUUAUCCGGAUUUAUUGGGUUUAAAGGGUGCGUAGAUGGGUUGUUAAGUCAGUUGUGAAAGUUCGGGGCUCAACCGUAAAAUUGCAAUUGAUACUGGCAGUCUUGAGUACAGUUGAGGUAGGCGGAAUGCGUGGUGUAGCGGUGAAAUGCUUAGAUAUCACGAAGAACUCCGAUUGCGAAGGCAGCUUACUAAACUGCCACUGACAUUGAUGCACGAAAGUGUGGGUAUCAAACAGGAUUAGAUACCCUUGUAGUC
rnacentral:rRNA from 1 species